GUUCAGGGGUGUCUUUUUAUGUCAUGUUUGUGUUUGCAGAAGUGUGUGUUGUGUUGUUGUUUGGUUGCUGGGAUGUCUGUACAUGUACUGCCACAUACAUACUUACACAUUAACAAACAGAAACACACUGACACAUACACACACACCUUGAUACACAGAUACACAGACCGGCAGAUACACACAGACACACACAACUUGACAUGCAGAUACACACACUGACACAUACAGGCACACAGAUACACACACCUUGACACACAGACACACAUACUUACACAGAUAAACACACCUUGACACACAGA